rnacentral:rRNA from 1 species
UGGGGAAUAUUGGACAAUGGGCGAAAGCCUGAUCCAGCCAUGCCGCGUGUGUGAAGAAGGUCUUCGGAUUGUAAAGCACUUUAAGUUGGGAGGAAGGGCAGUAAGCGAAUACCUUGCUGUUUUGACGUUACCGACAGAAUAAGCACCGGCUAACUCUGUGCCAGCAGCCGCGGUAAUACAGAGGGUGCAAGCGUUAAUCGGAAUUACUGGGCGUAAAGCGCGCGUAGGUGGUUCAUUAAGUUGAAUGUGAAAGCCCCGGGCUCAACCUGGGAACUGCAUCCAAAACUGGCGAGCUAGAGUAGGGCAGAGGGUGGUGGAAUUUCCUGUGUAGCGGUGAAAUGCGUAGACAUAGGAAGGAACACCAGUGGCGAAGGCGACCACCUGGGCUCAUACUGACACUGAGGUGCGAAAGCGUGGGGAGCAAACAGG